rnacentral:rRNA from 1 species
UGGGGAAUUUUGGACAAUGGGCGAAAGCCUGAUCCAGCAAUGCCGCGUGUGUGAAGAAGGCCUUCGGGUUGUAAAGCACUUUUGUCCGGAAAGAAAUCCUUGGCUCUAAUACAGUCGGGGGAUGACGGUACCGGAAGAAUAAGCACCGGCUAACUACGUGCCAGCAGCCGCGGUAAUACGUAGGGUGCAAGCGUUAAUCGGAAUUACUGGGCGUAAAGCGUGCGCAGGCGGUUUGCUAAGACCGAUGUGAAAUCCCCGGGCUCAACCUGGGAACUGCAUUGGUGACUGGCAGGCUAGAGUAUGGCAGAGGGGGGUAGAAUUCCACGUGUAGCAGUGAAAUGCGUAGAGAUGUGGAGGAAUACCGAUGGCGAAGGCAGCCCCCUGGGCCAAUACUGACGCUCAUGCACGAAAAGCGUGGGGAGCAAAACAGGAUUAGAUACCCUGGUAGUCCACGCCCUAAAACGAUGUCAACUAGUUGUUGGGGAUUCAUUUCCUUAGUAACGUAGCUAACGCGUGAAGUUGACUGCCUGGGGAGUACGGUCGC